rnacentral:rRNA from 1 species
UUUACUUACCCAUCUACAUACAAUACUCCAUAAUGACAAAGUGAAAACAUGUUUUUAGAAAUGUUGGGCCUGGUUAGUGCUUGGAUGGGAGACGGCAUGGGAAUACCAAGUGCCGUAAGCAAAA